rnacentral:rRNA from 1 species
UACAGAGGUCCCAAGCGUUGUUCGGAUUCACUGGGCGUAAAGGGUGCGUAGGUGGUGAGGUAAGUUUGAUGUGAAAUCUCCGAGCUCAACUCGGAAAAUGCAUUGAAUACUACCUUGCUAGAGGAUUGGAGGGGAGACUGGAAUUCUUGGUGUAGCAGUGAAAUGCGUAGAUAUCAAGAGGAACACCAGUGGCGAAAGCGAGUCUCUGGACAAUUCCUGACACUGAGGCACGAAAGCUAGGGGAGCAAACAGG